GAUGAACGCUGGCGGCGUGCCUAAUACAUGCAAGUCGAGCGAACGGACGAGAAGCUUGCUUCUCUGAUGUUAGCGGCGGACGGGUGAGUAACACGUGGAUAACCUACCUAUAAGACUGGGAUAACUUCGGGAAACCGGGGCUAAUACCGGAUAAUAUUUUGAACCGCAUGGUUCAAAAGUGAAAGACGGUCUUGCUGUCACUUAUAGAUGGAUCCGCGCUGCAUUAGCUAGUUGGUAAGGUAACGGCUUACCAAGGCAACGAUGCAUAGCCGACCUGAGAGGAUGAUCAGCCACACUGGAACUGAGACACGGUCCAGACUCCUACGGGAGGCAGCAGUAGGGAAUCUUCCGCAAUGGGCGAAAGCCUGACGGAGCAACGCCGCGUGAGUGAUGAAGGUCUUCGGAUCGUAAAACUCUGUUAUUAGGGAAGAACAUAUGUAUAAGUAACUGUGCACAUCUUGACGGUACCUAAUCAGAAAGCCACGGCUAACUACGUG
rnacentral:rRNA from 1 species